UGAGGUAGUGACAAUAAAUCUCAAUACGAAGCCUUUGGUUUUGUAAUUGAAUUGAGAACAAUGUACAAUCGUUAUCGAUAAACAAUUGGAGGGCAAGUCUGGUGCCAGCAGCCGCGGUAAUUCCAGCUCCAAUAGCGUAUAUUAACGUUGUUGCAGUUAAAAAGCUCGUAGUUGAAGUUUAGAUAAUUUAUUGAAAGUGUUUGUAUUCGUACAUUCUACUUUUAUGUAAGUUAUCGACAUCCAGGUGGGUGCCAUGGUUCCUUCGGGGGUCGUGAUACUAGACUGGUCAUUUACUGUGAGAAAAUUAGAGUGUUUAAAGCAGACUUUCUAAAUAGUUUGAAUAGAUUAGCAUGGAAUAAUAAGAUUGGCUUUCAUAGUCGAUUUUUUGGUUUGUUUAUGAAAGCAAGAUUAAUAGGGACAGUUGGGGGUAUUCAUAUUCAAUAGCUAGAGGUGAAAUUCUAUGAUUUAUGGAAGAUGAACAAGUGCGAAAGC
rnacentral:rRNA from 1 species